GUCGUCAGAACCAAGGCCUUCUGUCAGAGAACCGAGCAAGCGUCCCAGUCCUCGAAGGUGACUCUGCGGAAGAACAGCUUCCGACAGAAACUUCGGAACAGAUUCAAGAACUGUCGAAAGCCACUGAGCAUUGAGCAACGCCGUCAUCGACACGGAAAGACGAGCCAGGGGCAUCGAUGUGAAAAAGCGUGCGGCAGCUGAAGAGGGGAUGCCGGGGAUGUUUCCCCAAAACGAAGAAGUCGAAGCUAGACAUCUGCACCGAAACCGCCAAGUUCAGUGCCAAGCUAAAGCACACCGAUGUCACUCACAAGACAUCUGUUCUCAAAGAUUCCUUCGAGGUUCGGCGGAUAUGCCUCACGAGCAACCGAAACCGGAAGACUGGCGAGGAGAUGAAGGAGAUAUUCCCGGAUAUGUACAGCGAAGCUGCCGUGUGGACUGACUUGGGAAUGAUCAUGGGGCUCGAGGAGGACGUGAAGGAGCAUGUCCUGCACAAAAUCAGACAUACCGCGAAGAAGUACUGCCCAGACGAUGAUAAACGUGGAGCCGGCCGACAAAGACGACGACGAGCUGCUAGCUCUACUUGCCUAUGGUUGUGGAACAACCAUUGGCACCUUGGCGGAUCCGAGAAACGGGGUUCGUCAGGCAGGUGAGGAACUAUCGGUGGACGGUGUGGUGGUCUGCCAACUGCCGGCCACCAGGUUGGAGACCGUGGCCCUAAUGACGGCCGCCCACGCUGUCUUCUACACAAAGUUCACGGGGACCUGCAGGGCCCUGCAUUCGAGAUUCUUUACCGGAGUGUGGGAUUCGAUGUAAACCUAUAGGCUUAUCACAGAAGGUGUGGGAGGUUACCCAGGUAGUGUAGAACCAGCAUCGGAGAUGCCCACUUCGAAUGACUGGCGACCUGUAGCUCACCUGUGGUUCAAGUGACUCGUGACUUGUGGCUCACCUGUGGCUCAAGUGACUCGCAACGUGUGGCUCACACUGCUGGAGCCUCUGAUUAUGACUAAUUCAGCUGCGGCGGUCUCAGUACGCCAAUGAGUCUCAGUACGUCUUUCAUAGCCCAGAUCACGCUCGUUUUAUAUGCCAUCCGUGGCGGUGGUUCUGUGCGUAGAUGUUAUUCGUUAGCCUCAGUGUUAACCAUAACGCCCUUGUGAGUUGUGACCUUGAACG